CACGUAGGGUGCGAGCGUUGUCCGGAAUUAUUGGGCGUAAAGAGCUCGUAGGCGGUGUGUCGCGUCGGCCGUGAAAACCUGCAGCUUAACUGUGGGCUUGCGGUCGAUACGGGCAUCACUGGAGUUCGGCAGGGGAGACUGGAAUUCCUGGUGUAGCGGUGAAAUGCGUAGAUAUCAAGAGGAACACCUGCGGCGAAGGCGGGUUGCUGGGCCGACACUGACGCUGAGGCGCGAAAGCUAGGGGAGCGAACGGG
rnacentral:rRNA from 1 species